GACGAACGCUGGCGGCGUGCUUAAUACAUGCAAGUCGAGCGAGGUCCAUCUGGUGGCAACACCAGUGAAGGCCGAGCGGCGAACGGGUGAGUAACACGUGAGCAACCUGCCCCGAAGUCUGGAAUAACAUCGGGAAACCGGUGCUAAUACCGGAUCGCCCCACCUGACCGCAUGAUCGGGUGAGGAAAGAUUUAUCGCUUCGGGAGGGGCUCGCGGCCUAUCAGCAGUUGGUGGGGUAACGGCCUACCAAGGCAUCGACGGGUAGCUGGUCUGAGAGGACGACCAGCCACACUGGGACUGAGACACGGCCCAGACUCCUACGGGAGGCAGCAGUAGGGAAUCUUGCGCAAUGGGCGAAAGCCUGACGCAGCAACGCCGCGUGGGGGA
rnacentral:rRNA from 1 species